rnacentral:rRNA from 1 species
AGUGAACGCUGGCGGUAGGCCUAACACAUGCAAGUCGAACGGCAGCACAGUAAGAGCUUGCUCUUACGGGUGGCGAGUGGCGGACGGGUGAGUAAUACAUCGGAAUCUACUUUUUCGUGGGGGAUAACGUAGGGAAACUUACGCUAAUACCGCAUACGACCUACGGGUGAAAUCAUGGGAUCUUCUGACCUUGCGCGAUUGAAUUAGCCGAUGUCGGAUUAGCUAGUUGGCGGGGUAAAGGCCCACCAAGGCGACGAUCCGUAGCUGGUCUGAGAGGAUGAGCAGCCAAACUGGAAGUGAGACACGGUCCAGACACCUACGGGAGGCAGCAGUGGGGAAUAGUGGACAAUGGGCGAAAGCAUGAUCCAGCAAUACCGCGUGGGUGAAGAAGGACUUCGGGUUGUAAAGCACUGUUGUUGGGAAAGAAAAGCAGCAGGUUAAUACACCGCUGUUGUGACGGUACCCAAAGAAUAAGCACCGGCUAACUUCGUG